UCCUUUGUUGCCAGCGAUUAGGUCGGGAACUCAAAGGAGACUGCCAGUGAUAAACUGGAGGAAGGUGGGGAUGACGUCAAGUCAUCAUGGCCCUUACGACCAGGGCUACACACGUGCUACAAUGGCGCAUACAAAGAGAAGCGACCUCGCGAGAGCAAGCGGACCUCAUAAAGUGCGUCGUAGUCCGGAUUGGAGUCUGCAACUCGACUCCAUGAAGUCGGAAUCGCUAGUAAUCGUGGAUCAGAAUGCCACGGUGAAUACGUUCCCGGGCCUUGUACACACCGCCCGUCACACCAUGGGAGUGGGUUGCAAAAGAAGUAGGUAGCUUAACCUUCGGGAGGGCGCUUACCACUUUGUGAUUCAUGACUGGGGUGAAGUCGUAACAAGGUAACCGUAGGGGAACCUGCGGUUGGAUCACCUCCUUACCUUAAAGAAGC
rnacentral:rRNA from 1 species